UACGGAGGGGGCUAGCGUUGUUCGGAAUUACUGGGCGUAAAGCGCACGUAGGCGGCUUUGUAAGUUAGAGGUGAAAGCCCGGGGCUCAACUCCGGAAUUGCCUUUAAGACUGCAUCGCUCGAAUUGUGGAGAGGUAAGUGGAAUUCCGAGUGUAGAGGUGAAAUUCGUAGAUAUUCGGAAGAACACCAGUGGCGAAGGCGACUUACUGGACACAUAUUGACGCUGAGGAGCGAAAGCGUGGGGAGCAAACAGG
rnacentral:rRNA from 1 species